AUAUAUAUACCCAUACAGAAUUUCUAGGAACACGAUAGUUAAUUCGUAAUACUGUCUCACUCCCUUUAUUUUGAUGUAAAAGAAAGUAAUAGAAAAUAACUGAAAACUCACCAUUCGUAGAGAGCUUCUUAUUGCAGGUAGUGACCAUAAGAGACGCAGAUCCUAAAUAGCUGCCAUAGAAGAAAAGAUAUAGUUUAAUAAAUUAUUAAUAUUACAUGUGAGAACCCGUCAUUUGAAAGACGAGUGAAGCACGAAGAAUGAAAAUUGUAUUUAAAAAUAGAAGAGGGAAAAUUAUGGAGCAAAAAAAUUUGUUGGCAUAGGCACGCCAAAUUUCAAGAAUUUUCGCAUAAUAGCUGCAAUGAAAUUAUAUUUAAAUAUUUUUCAACAUUACAUUAAAUAUUUGAAAAAACUUACCACAAUCACUUCGUUUCCAUGUACUGCAUGUUUUCUUCACAUUUCCCAACACUAUGUAUUUCAAAUUCGCAAAAUUUUUAAACAAUUUGUUAAGAAAUUUACGGAGAUGAAAAAGUCGCGUACCGAAUUAGUAACUGAAAAUGUGAGGUCAUGUGAACACUACGUGUGACAUUCAAAAAGUUGUGCAAAAAUAUGAAAAUAUAGGGAACACUUCGAUGGAAAAGAUUAUUCAAAAUGAAUUAGAGAUAUUUAUAAAUGUAAAAAAUUAAAUUAAAAAUGUAAACUGUAUUUUUCUCAUUAGUUUUAUGUUUAUUCAAUUUUAUAUAAUUUUCAUUUUAAUAAUUUAUGAACUUUGUUGACUUAGAUAGUAACCCGUCCUAAACUAACGUACGUGUGCAGUUUCCUACCGACGCGACGCGAACUUUAUUAGAGUGAUUUGUGAGUGUGAUUGGAAAAAAGGGAUGACAAGCUGCUGCAACAGGACCAACAAAAAGCACUUGAGAAAAGCUUCUUUUCGUGGACAAGUUCGAUAAAACUCUUUGAUUAUUUCUGAAAACGCUGGAAAUAAUAUUCAUUCGAUUCAACGAGGAUAAAUCAAAAGGAGAGGGGAUGUCAAUUUUUAAUGGAGAAUCGCGUAUUCGUCCCGUUACGACUGAUUCGAGGCUUUAUCGCGACAUUACCGAAGAAAUCGGGAAACACGCGGAACGUUUGCUGGUACUCGCAUAACUGACCGAGUCGAGGGGAGAAAUUCUCUCUAUCCUGAUGGCCCGGGCUCCUGGCUGACUUGCGCUCCGCGUACCUAAGCGCAACAUGUGGUAAACCGUUGAAGAUACCGGUCGGCUUGGUCUGUGUUUUCCAGUGGUGCCAGGUGCGAUGGCCGGACGGUAUAACGACGUAACGGCUGCCGCAUUGCCGAUGUCGUGUCUACAGUAACUACGGUACAUGGGGUCGUCUCUUAGAGUGUUUGCGAAUUAGGCCGCGACCUCGUCUCCGUCGUCGCGAACCACGAUGGUUCUGUGGUAGUGGUUGCAGAGGGGGCUGUGCCGCGAAAUUAGAACGUUGCAUUCGUGAGAGUCCUCGCUGUCUCGCUCCCGUGGCGGGGCAUCAAUAGGAAUAAUACGAGGAACUAUGCGAUGCAGCUCGCACAUAGGUAGACGCGAGUGUAACGACCUUACACCCCCGCAGGUAGCGGGAUCGAUGGGCUUCAACUCCGUGCAACCUCACAUCCGCAGCUCCUACCGCGGGCCAACUUCCUCCACCGUGUUGGCUGUCCCACUUUUCUGUCGCAUUUUACUACUACGAUGUAACGUUGUUUCGCACCUUACGGCCACUGUUUGUCGAUGAUAAGGGAACUUGUACUGUUUCGAAUAGAAACGGUUCUGCCGCGACAGACAAUGCCUAGCAACGAGGCAAGGAUUCUCAAACACAGAAAAUCAUCGGAUGUUUCAUUAAAAUUUGAAAAUACACUGUUGGAAAUAACUUGGUAUAUAAAUAGGGUGAAUAAAAUCAACUAGUUAUUUGUUUAAAAUAUAUUGUAAACGUUUCUCAUGAUAGUAUGGUCUGAGAAUUUUGGAAUCAAAUUUCAUAGAAACGAUGAAUUAAAGUCGAUCGUAUCGUGAAGUUUUAUUCCCAUUUCUCUGUUGAGUAGAAUGUGCUAGUAUUGUGUUACGUGCAUGCUGAUAUGGCAAACGCUUCACUAAGAAAGCAAGUGCGUUAUUUACUCCAACAAUGGAGUUACAUGUUGUAAUCGUGACGUAGAUUAUAUCGUGAUUGUUGCAAAGGUGUACUCGUUACGCACGUUCCAUUUUAUAAAAUAGA